UACGUAGGUGGCAAGCGUUGUCCGGAAUUAUUGGGCGUAAAGCGCGCGCAGGCGGUCCUUUAAGUCUGAUGUGAAAGCCCACGGCUCAACCGUGGAGGGUCAUUGGAAACUGGGGGACUUGAGUACAGAAGAGGAAAGCGGAAUUCCACGUGUAGCGGUGAAAUGCGUAGAGAUGUGGAGGAACACCAGUGGCGAAGGCGGCUCACUGGUCCGGUACUGACGCUGAGGUGCGAAAGCGUGGGGAGCAAACAGG
rnacentral:rRNA from 1 species